UCAACGGAGAGUUUGAUCCUGGCUCAGGACGAACGCUGGCGGCGUGCUUAACACAUGCAAGUCGAACGAUGAAGCCCAGCUUGCUGGGUGGAUUAGUGGCGAACGGGUGAGUAACACGUGGGUGAUCUGCCCUGCACUUCGGGAUAAGCCUGGGAAACUGGGUCUAAUACCGGAUAGGACCUCGGGAUGCAUGUUCCGGGGUGGAAAGGUUUUCCGGUGCAGGAUGGGCCCGCGGCCUAUCAGCUUGUUGGUGGGGUAACGGCCCACCAAGGCGACGACGGGUAGCCGGCCUGAGAGGGCGACCGGCCACACUGGGACUGAGACACGGCCCAGACUCCUACGGGAGG
rnacentral:rRNA from 1 species